UUAAUACAACUAAUGACAUUUUCUAUGCACGUCUGCAUGAGAAAAAGUUUUCUUUCAUCAUAAUGAGAAAUAGGUAUUUUCAAUUUUGUUUUUUAGUUUAGUUACAUCCUAAAGAUACAUAGUUUCGAAUCCUACUUGACAAUGACAUUUCCAAGAUCGCACCUAUUUGAUCUUUACCAAAAUGAAUAAUCCCUUCCAGAAUCGCAUUGUUCUCCCCAGGAACCCAUCCUCCUCAAAUGCUGCAUAAACAAUCUAUGACAUACCACAAAGUGAACCUUAAAACUCUACUCCGUUAGCCAUUACAAAGCAUGCACAAGAUAUGCUGGAGGGAUAAAUGAGUAACCAAGUUCCCUCCCAGGAACUAAUUAUGAUUUACAGCUUCUUCUUGGAUGUUGGACUUGAGGUCUCCUUAAACGCAGAUGGGCAGAACUCGCUUAUGCUGCACAUUCCACAGCGAGGUCUGAGUGGAGUACAAAUUGUCUGUCCAAAUCCAACCAAAAGAGGGUUUAUUGGAACCCACUCUUCCUUUGGAAGCCAUAGUUGCAAAGAUGCUCUUGUUUCCUCAGGAGUUGAAGUUUUCUGGUUUGUGCUUGGCCGAGACACCCAUCCAAGCCGAUUGCAAAUGCGAUGCACAUGGGUAUCUACACAUAUUCCUUGAACAUUGUUCCAUGCAAUAUUCAUAACCAAAUGAGCCAUCUUAGGACCUAUCCCUGGAAGUGCUAGCAAGUCCUCCAAAGAGCUAGGUAUGUCUCCAUCAUACUUAAUGAGACAAAUUUUUGCAAUUUUCUUCAAAUUACUAGCUUUUCUGGUAUAAAAGCCAACCAUUCGUUGAUGUGUUUCUCGAGAAAACAUACAGGGUAAAUCAAGUCCUUAAUUGUCGUUUCAUCGGCUACAUCGAUGGCAUCAGCAGUAAGCAGACCAUUUUGAUGAAGACGCUGAAUAGCUCCAUGCGUUACAUGAUCCUUGGUUUGGCUUGACAGAAGUGAAGAUGCCAACACAGCAAAUCUUCUUUCCUUUGGAGGAAGAAAAUAUCCAGCUUUUUCACAUCCCAUUGUGUCUACUGGUGCAUCUUCCGAGGACCUCAUUUUGCGAAUCCCUUCAAGGACUAUUUCCCAGUUGGCAGGGGGUUCAUCUAUUGGUCUAAUAGUAGAAGCAAUUUCAGUAUUCAUAGGAAGCACAUCUGCGAUGAGUUUUGACUUCCCUGAGUGUGCAGAUCUAUCUGCCUUCUCAUAUGCAAAAUCUUCAAUGUCAGGUAGUUUCUCCUUCUUAGGUUCUACUCUAGGGUCCUUUACUGCAACCUCCAGAGUCUUUUUCAUUCUCUUUUUCCUCACAAAAACACGAGUUUCUGGCUGAGAGACUUCAUCAGAAUCUGGAAUUGGGUCCAAAGCGGAAAUCUUAUUUUUGGAAGAGAAUCCGGUAAUUGACAUUUUCUUACAUUUGAAUCGCCCGAUGGCUGUUGGAAGGGAAGGACUUCUCAAAAUGGCGAGACUCAUUUGGGUUUUGGGGGGACGGAAUUAAAA
rnacentral:misc_RNA from 1 species